GACGAACGCUGGCGGCGUGCCUAAUACAUGCAAGUCGAACGCAGUGGGGACGGGUGAGUAACACGUAGGAAACCUGCCAUCAGAGCGGAUAACAAUUGGAAAACGGUGCUAUACCGAGACUGAUGGCUGGACGCGCGGUGCAUUAGCUCAUUGGUGAGGUAACGGCUCACCAAGGCAACGAUGCAUAGCCGACCUGAGAGGGUGAUCGGCCACACUGGGACUGAGACACGGCCCAGACUCCUACGGGAGGCAGCAGUAGGUAAUCGUCGGCAAUGGACGAAAGUCUGACCGAGCAAUGCCGCGUGAGUGAAGAAGGUUUUCGGAUCGUAAAACUCUGUUGUUAGAGAAGCGGUAUCUAACCAGAAAGCCACGGCUAACUACGUGCCAGCAGCCGCGGUAAUAC
rnacentral:rRNA from 1 species